AACUUUCAGCAAUGGAUCUCUUGGCUUUCGCAUCGAUGAAGAACGCAGCGAAAUGCGAUAAGUAAUGUGAAUUGCAGAAUCCAGUGAAUCAUCGAAUCUUUGAACGCACCUUGCACCCUUUGGUAUUCCGAAGGGUAUGCUCGUUUGAGCGUCAUUGUACUCUCACACUCUCCGAUUUCAGAUCGGGAGCGGUGGACUUGGAUGUUGCUGCUUUGGUGUCAGGCUCAUCUCAAAUGACUUAGUGCAACCUCUACUUGGACAUAGUACAGCGUGAUAAGUAUCUUCGCUGGCAACUCAUAAGAGGAUGUCCAAUUCGGAGCUCUGUGCUUCAAACUGUCCUUUGGACUAUCUUGACAACUUGACCUCAAAUCGAGUAGGACUACCCGCUGAACUUAAGCAUAUCAAUAAGCGGAGGCU
rnacentral:misc_RNA from 1 species